CGUGUAAAGCUAUCCAAAUCAAUUGAAUUUUGGUUAGAAAAUUCUUUAAACUAUUUUGAACAAGAUUUAUACUCUCAAUCUUGAUUACAAAAUUUCUAUUAUCACUUUUUAGAUAAUUGUCACGCCCCGGGGUCCCCUUUUUGUUUGAAACACAGCGGAAAAGCAUUUGAAUUUUUUUUGAAAACCUGACCCAGAGUAUGCCAGAUCCGCCACAAAUACAGGGAAUCCACUGUUCACACGGACAGAGUCUCCCCUGUACUUGCACGGCGUCACACAAGUACAAAAGUACAAACAGUAUACAACCACAAUUAAAUGAAUAUACAGAUAGCUAUACAUUCAUACAUUCACCAUUCACCCCGUAGUUUUACAUUCGAUGUUUAAACAGAAGUCCACGAAAAAUCUUUUGAAAACUGUUUCGUACGCGAAAACUUUUAUCUUUUAUAGAAGNAACUCUAUAUAUAUAUAUAUAUAUAUAGUGCCAUUCGAUCCCUUCAACCAUGCAUUUACCAACAUUUUCUAAUUAAUUAUUAUUCAUUAGCAGCCUAGUUCCUAAUUAAUAAGCGGCUUAUAUCUCUCUCUCUCUCUCUCUCUCUCUCUCUCUAUAUAUAUAUAUAUAUAUGAGUAGGGCUAGAAUACUUGUAAAAGUAUCAUGGGGGUGAUAAUUGUGUGUUUUUAGCCCUUAGAUGGAGAGAUGUGAGGUUGAGAUGAUAGUGGUAGGUGGUGGUAGGUGGAAUAGUGUUUAAUCCAAGGACUAUUAAUAAUAAAAAAGUAGAUCUAAUGACUUAAAACCUAAUAGCACCAUGAUGGUAAUACUUGUAAAAGUAUCAUAGCUCAACUCUAUAUAUAUAUAUAUAUAU
rnacentral:lncRNA from 1 species